AUGGGUUGCAUGUUGAUUCAUGUUGACUGGAUACAGGUUUCAAUCUUGCCGGGAACAUUGGCUCGAUUUGAUAGAGAAGCACCAAACUACCAAAAGGAUGGCUACAACGAUUUCAAUACAUUUUACAUACAGGCUGCAUCUGGUACUAAAGGUGGCUCUAGUGGUUCCCCUGUUGUUGAUUGCCAAGGAAGAGCUGUUGCACUGAAUGCAGGAAGCACCAGUUCCAGUGCUUCGGCCUUCUACCUUCCAUUAGACCGUGUAGUUAGAGCACUCAAUCUGAUACGUGGCUGUCGGGACCCAUUUGGCAGCAAGCCAGAAUCUGCGUAUAUUCCUCGUGGUACACUUCAGAUGACUUUUCAACACAAAGGUUUCGAAGAAACUCGACGUCUUGGACUCAGGAAUGAAACCGAGCAGAUCGUAACACAAUUUCUCACUAUGGAGUCCUUACUUGAUGAGAGCGUUGGCAGGGAGAUAAAUUUGCAGGUCGAAAGAGGUGGAACUCCUUUAACAGUAAAGCUGAAGGUAGGGGAUUUGCACUCCAUAACUCCAAAUCAUUUCCUGGAAGUUAGUGGUGCUGUCAUCCAUCCACUUUCAUACCAGCAGGUAAGCUACCCUGCUUUCAUUAUUCUUUUCUGA
rnacentral:rRNA from 1 species